AUGGACACCGGCUUGGCCAUGAAUGUGCUGCCGAUGAGCCCCGCCGGCUCGUCGGCUGUGACCACCGGCGAUCUGAGGAGGGGCGCGUGGACGGCGGAGGAGGACCUUCUGCUCGUCGACUACAUCUCCCGGCACGGCGAAGGACGCUGGAACUCGCUCGCUCGAUGCGCAGGCCUGAGGCGCACCGGGAAGAGCUGCCGGCUCCGGUGGCUCAACAACCUCCGCCCCGACGUCCGGCGCGGCCACAUCACGCCGGAGGAGCAACUCCUCAUACUCGACCUGCACUCCCGGUGGGGCAACCGGUGGUCAAAGAUCAUCAAGAACUACUGGCGUACCAGGGUGCAGAAGCACGCCAGGCAGCUCGGAUGCGACGUCAACAGCGACCGCUUCCGGCAGGUCGUCAGGCUCGUUUGGAUGCCGCGCCUCCUCGAGCGCAUCCAGGCGGAAAGCUCCUCCUCCGCCGCUGCUGCCAGCGAGUACGUCGCACUGCCGGUGGCUGGCGAAUCACAGUCGUACCACUGCUUCAAUCACGCGAGCAGCGAGUGUUGGACAGCGGUGGUCGCCAUGAGCCCCGAUACCCCGAGCAUGCCUCGGUCUUCGCUGUCAUCGACGGAGGCGUCACAUGGAGGGCAUUUCCCAGAGUGGGGCUCUGCCGCUGCCACGGCCAACAUUGAGGGUUCGAUGAUGCACUCCUGCAGCGGCGAGGGUGGGGCCGUAGGUGGCGAUCAUCACGUUUUCCCUGGCGACAAACUCAAUGAGAGCUGGUCGGAGCUCCUCGCUGCCAGCGAUGUCCCGGGUUUCGAGUUCGGAAAUUUCGAAGACAGCUUGUGGGCCUAG
rnacentral:rRNA from 1 species